rnacentral:rRNA from 1 species
AUUGAACGCUGGCGGCAGGCCUAACACAUGCAAGUCGAGCGAGCGGGGGGCGGGUGAGUAAUGUCUGGGAAACUGCCUGAUGGAGGGGGAUAACUACAGGAAACGGUGGCUAAUACAGCAUACCAUCAGAGAUGCCCCGAUGGGAUUUGCUAGUAGGUGGGGUAACGGCUCACCUAGGGGACGAUCCCUAGCUGGUCUGAGAGGAUGACCAGCCACACUGGAACUGAGACACGGUCCAGACUCCUACGGGAGGCAGCAGUGGGGAAUAUUGCACAAUGGGCGCAAGCCUGAUACAGCCAUGCCGCGUGUGUGAAGAAGGCCUUCGGGUUGUAAAGCACUUUCAGCGGGGAGGCGUUACCCGCAGAAGAAGCACCGGCUAACUCCGUGCCAGCCGCCGCGGUAAUUC